rnacentral:rRNA from 1 species
AUUGAACGCUGGCGGCAUGCCUUACACAUGCAAGUCGAACGGCAGCACGGGUGCUUGCACCUGGUGGCGAGUGGCGAACGGGUGAGUAAUACAUCGGAACGUACCUUAUCGUGGGGGAUAACGCAGCGAAAGCUGUGCUAAUACCGCAUACGCCCUGAGGGGGAAAGCGGGGGAUCGCAAGACCUCGCGCGAUUAGAGCGGCCGAUGCCUGAUUAGCUUGUUGGUGGGGGAAAAGCCCACCAAGGCGACGAUCAGUAGCUGGUCGGAGAGGACAAUCAGCCACACUGGGACUGAGACACGGCCCAGACUCCUACGGGGAGCAGCAGUGGGGAAUUUUGGACAAUGGGGGCAACCCUGAUCCAGCAAUGCCGCGUGAGUGAAGAAGGCCUUCGGGUUGUAAAGCUCUUUUGUCAGGGAAGAAACACCGGCUCUAACACAGUCCGGGAAUGACGGUACCUGAAGAAUAAGCACCGGCUAACUACGUGCCAGCCGCCGCCGUAA